rnacentral:lncRNA from 1 species
AUGGCACAGAAAUUAACAACUAUAGGUCACCAUACGACCUUCAACAAUUAGCAAAGCCCAUACCGCAUAGUCAGCUAUAAAAGGCCCAAAAAUUACAAUGUAAAGCAAUUAAAACGAGAAAACUAACGGCUUCAAAAAAUUAACGAAAAACAAAUAUGUAACACAUAAACAAACGACUAACUCAUUAGAAGGAAAAUAAAUACAAGUGGACGUGGCCGGGUACUUGUACAUCCCAACAACAAAAAGACCAUAGAAACAGAUCUGAAAGUACUCGUAGUAAACUGACAGCUAGUUCAAA